rnacentral:tRNA from 1 species
CGGGGUGUAGCUCAAUUGGCUAGAGCGUUCCGUUGUCUGCGGAAAGGUUGCGGGUACUCUUCGAGAAGGCUUCGCCUACAAGUCCCGUCACCCUGG